UUUGCCUAUUCACAUCCAAAGCCAUACCUGGGUAAGAGAGCCGGCUGUCCUUUUUCUCCAGAUAGGGAAGCUCGCGGCGUUCUCGACAGUUCUCGUCUUGAUACCGCUACGGCAUCCUCCCCCCGCUGCCCUAAGCUUAGAGAUCGUCUAGGUUAGCUGACUAAAGGUAACGGCCUAGAGCGGCGCCGGCUUAUGAACGACGCGCUGCUUCAUUUAGUUAGAGACAACACGCGCCAGCGAGUUAGGUCGUUAUCACCACGGCCGCUCUGCCGCCAUUGUCAUGUUCUUCUUAAACUGGUGUCAAAGUUUUCCCCACGGGACAGCUUAAGUCUCGUCAGUUGUCUGUUUCUGCUACCUGUGCGUGGACUGAGCAGCUCGUCCAAAGUCAACGGUCUCCAGUGGUAGACAGUUGUCAAUCACUUGCCGCUUCGUUCGGUUUGAAACCAUACGUGUCGGCGACUUAGGCCGUAGCCACUACACCCACUAGGUGGCGGGUGUUAUGUUCAUCUGUAGUUGUCGUGAACGUUACCUUACCGGGACAGGGAAGGCUGGAGUCUUGUUAGCUGUCCGUUUCUGCUAGGAGUUCGUGGACCGACCUGGUUUUCCAUAUGUUAACACCUACACACAAAGACAAAGUUCCUAUACUGUUAAAACUCACCCGACAUAUAAAUGUAAGGAGGUUUAAAGUGACUCUUCAUGACUAAAAGGACAUUUCAUCAUGUUCCGACGACGAUCUGUAGCUAUGCAACACAAAACACUAAUGUGUGAUGAUCUUUGGUUUUUUUUGACAAAGAUCUUAUUGUACAUCGACAUACUACGUCCCAUGCACAUCCCGUGUGUGGAUAAAUAUAAGGAGGUUUUCAACAAGACGUAUAGCAGCUCUUUUAUCGACACCUCUGUUAAAAGGAAUCAAACAAAUAAAGGUGUAAGACAACAACUCCCGGUUUUUUAUCUUUAAACACAUUAUUUUGGACAACUUCCAUGUGACGAUAGACAACAUGAACAAUUGAACGGUUGUACAACAUGCGAACACUUACUCCGAUGACACCAAAUUCGUUUUAGUAACAGUGCGG
rnacentral:rRNA from 1 species